rnacentral:sRNA from 1 species
ACUCUUUUACUCAGCAGUUGCUCAUCAGGGACACACCUUGCUGCAGGCUGCCUGCAUCCUGAGCAAUCGAUGCCGCAAGUCCUUGCCAGCAGAGCACAGAGCAAAAUGCCAAGAAGGAUCAAGAAGGUGGAGAAGAAAAGAAAUCUGUGCAAAAGAAAAAAGUAAAAGAGUUAAAGGUGUUGGAUUCAAAGACAGCCCAGAAUCUCUCAAUCUUUUUGGGUUCCUUCCGCAUGCCCUAUCAAGAGAUUAAGAAUGUCAUCCUGGAGGUGAAUGAGGCUGUUCUGACUGAGUCUAUGAUCCAGAACCUCAUUAAGCAAAUGCCAGAGCCAGAGCAGUUAAAAAUGCUUUCUGAACUGAAGGAUGAAUAUGAUGACCUGGCUGAGUCAGAGCAGUUUGGCGUGGUGAUGGGCACUGUGCCCCGACUGCGGCCUCGCCUCAAUGCCAUUCUCUUCAAGCUACAAUUCAGCGAGCAAGUGGAGAAUAUCAAGCCAGAGAUUGUGUCUGUCACUGCUGCAUGUGAGGAGUUACGUAAGAGUGAGAGCUUUU